ensembl:lncRNA
GAAACAACAGUCCCUGCUCUCAAAUACAGGUGGUCAGAAGGAAGCCUUCGAACGCCUCAAGGCUGGGCGUAUUGACCCUUCGUCAUCCGUUCCCAGCCUUGGGCACUCAGUGAACGCUCAUAACCCUUUGUUAUGCUCGUCCCAGCUUCCAACCUGCGUCAUGAGUGGAGCAUGUAUUUGCUUAGAGCCUUCCAGCUCCUCCACAUUGAAACUCCAAUAAUUUGGCCACCUGAUGGGAAGAACUGACUCAUUUGAAAAGACCCUGCUGCAGGGCAAGAUUGAAGGCAGGAGGAGAAGCAGAUGACAGAGGAUGAGAUGGUCGGAUAGCAUCACCAACUCGAUGGACGCACAAUACCAUCUAGUGGAUUGAUCUUUUCUCUUUAUUAAAUGUCCCUUUUUAAUCUAUAUAAUUGUCAAUUACUUUGAAUUCAAUCUUGUUUGAUAUUUAAAAAUCAGUAUCAGCAUUCUUAUAGAUACAGUUUGUAAAAUAUACCUUUUAGCAUUCUCUUAGGUUCACGCAUUCUUUGUUCUUAUAUUCAAUGUGAAUCUUACAUAACUACCUCAUAGCUGUAUUUUACUGGAAUACUGGGGGACUGAGUGGACAUUUAGACCCAAGUAGAAGUGAGAAGUUCUAACACUUGGACUCUUAGAGCCUGAGCUAUAUCACUUCCCCAAAUAUUACAAGUCCCCUCUCUUCCCAGUCUCUCUGUUCUCUUUGGCAGAUCCUAUUCAUUUCUGCCUUUGUCACUACAAUUCCAUGUGUCUAGCCCAAACUACUCUUUGGCCCUGUAGAUUUUUAUCCGAACGUUAAUGGAACUCUCCUGAAUGUCUCAAACUUAGCUCAAUCUCAGCAGGUCGAAAUAUGUUCCACCAUUAAGAUUAACCCUAUUUCUCUGUCUCAUGUUUCCUGCUCAGUGGUGUUCAAAGUGCAAUGCUGGCUCUGGUCGCAAAGGUGACCCUUUUUAAGUUGCUUUAGUAGACAGCCAAGUUUGCUAAAAAAGAAAAAGAAAUCUGUCAUUAUUUUUAAAAACAAGUUAGGGGAUAUUCUUUACCUCGUACCUAUUCACUUUUGAAAAUGUGUAUGAAUAACAAACAUAGACAAAAUCUACUUGGCACAUUUCUUUCCCAUGAAAUAUGCAUUCCUACAACUAAUGCCUUUCUUCGAUUGCUGACAGGUGUCUUACUUUUUCUACUCAAUAGCUUUACUCUGGGCCCUAGUUUAUACUUCUGCAUAGUUUCUGCUCCCCCUAAUAUCAUCUUCCUCACAAGUUGGACUUACCAUGAUUACCUCUCAGGUCCUCAACAUUAGGGACUUCGUUUUUUUUCCUUUUGCUUUUUUUCCUUUUUGGUUCCCAACAUCAAUAGCCUGAUUAUCUCCACUAUACCCACCCUUGGGCUUCCCUGAUGGCUCAGUUGGUAAAGAAUCCGCCUGCAAUGCAGGAGACCCAGGUUCCAUUCUUGGGUCAGGAAGAUCCUCUAGAGAAGGGAUAAGCUACCCAAUCCAAUAUUCUUGGAUUCCCCUUGUGGCUCAGCUGGUAAAGAAUCUGCCUGCAAUGUCAGAGACCUGGGUUUGACCCCUGGGUUGGGAAAAAUCCCCUGAAGGAGGGAAAGGCUAUCCACUCCAGUAUUCUGGCCUGGAGAAUUCCAUGCACUUUAUAGCCCAUGGGGUUGCAAAAAGUCAGACACAACUGAGCAACUUUCACCUCCACUUCACUUCACCUCAUACCCAGUUUUAUUCAGUGUGAGGGAAAACAUGUCUCUCUUAGGAAAAACAAUAGGAUUGGAAUUCGCCAUUGCUAAAAUAUCUUAAAAAACAUUAUUUUAAAAUUAUAUUUAAGAAAAUAGGUGGCUGUUUCAAUUACUGCUUUAAUGGAUUUAUUAUUUGUUUUAUGAGACACUGAGAGCACUGGUUCUGGACCCAACAUUUUGAGCUAUAUCUUGGCAUUACAACUUACUAGUUGUACAAUUUUAGGUAAUUUGCUUAAUCACUAUGUGUCUCAACUUCGUCCUAUGUAAAAUGGGUACAUUGACAGUACAGCCCUCACAGAUUUCUUCUGAGGAAUGGAUUGAUUAGCACCUGUAAAUAGCGGAAGACACUGUCUCAGAUAUGGUACACACUAAAAGUAGUGCUAUGUUAUGAAUAUUGGAUUAGUAUCAUAAUUUUCUGUGUAGUCCAAGUUAGCAUGAUGACAUGUUCAGAAUUGCUUUAUGGCAAUAAUAUAACUGUACAAAAAAUUAAAAUCUAAAAGCUUGACACUGAAGUAAAUAACAGAAAAAUUACAUUUUAUCACACAUCAAUUUCCAUAUGUCACUAGUGGUGAAUUCCUUUAUGACUUUUUCUGCUUUUAUAUGCACAUUCCCAUAUAUAUUUUACACCUUAGUUUUUUUUAUUAUUAGAGUAUCUGCAACAUACACCAUUUAUUCAGAAACACUUUUCUGAGAAAAAUAAACUGAUCACAUAACAUGUAUUUUAUGAUGUAUCCCAAUGUGAGAAAUGUUGAAAUUAAAAAAAAAAAUGAUCCUGACAUAGAAUAAGACAAUUUAGGUCAUAUGAUAUAUGCAGUUAGGAUCUCUGGCAUUUUGAUGUAUUUCCUUGUAGCCUUUCCCUAGGCCUGUUUGUAUCUAAUAUAAUUGUAUUUCCACCAUACUGCUGGUGGUUCUCAGGUGUUAGUGUGCAUUAAAAUCUCUCAGGGGAAUAUGAUAAUAAUGUAUGUUUUGGGGCCCAGUUGGAAGUGGAUUUGACUCAUGAAAUCUGGAGAGGAGUACCAAAGUCUGCAUUAUUAGCAAGAGAGAUAGAAGAUUCUGAAGCAAGCAUUUGGGAAAUGCUGCAAAAAAUCACUGAUACAUGCUGACAUGUACUCCCUCACGGACAAAAAUUUUGCUCAGGCUUCUCUGGCUUUCUUUUCAGUGAGGCCUUGUCCUUGGUUCUGGCUUUGGCCUGCUAAGUCCAGUUUUAGCAAGACAUUCUGGUUAGGUAAUUU